rnacentral:rRNA from 1 species
UAAGGAAUAUUGGUCAAUGGACGCAAGUCUGAACCAGCCAUGCCGCGUGAAGGAUGAAGGUCCUCUGGAUUGUAAACUUCUUUUAUCUGGGACGAAAACGGGAUUUUUAUCUCAAUUGACGGUACCAGAGGAAUAAGCACCGGCUAACUCCGUGCCAGCAGCCGCGGUAAUACGGAGGGUGCGAGCGUUAUCCGGAUUUACUGGGUUUAAAGGGUGCGUAGGUGGGCUUAUAAGUCAGUGGUGAAAUCUCCGAGCUUAACUUGGAAACUGCCGUUGAUACUAUAGGUCUUGAAUUAUCUGGAGGUAAGCGGAAUAUGUCAUGUAGCGGUGAAAUGCUUAGAUAUGACAUAGAACACCAAUUGCGAAGGCAGCUUGCUACAUAUAAAUUGACGCUGAGGCACGAAAGCGUGGGGAUCAAACA